AACCGUUUUGAGCCCACCCGCCAAAACUCGGGUUAUUCGGAUCCACAUCAUUAACUGGUUGAACCAAAUUAAUAUCAGUCGAAACCGAUACUGCCGUUAGUGCGUUUUGAACCAAGCCAGAUCUCUUCUUCCCUUCGUUUCAUAAACCCUAGCCAGUGCACCACUCCAUUGGGCAUCGCAGUUCGUCGUCGCCGUCGUCUUCACCGUUCAUCAUCGCCGUCCAAGCCAAUUUGUAGAUUCACUUGCAAAAUGGUGGAUUAAAAUGGGAUGCAGGGGAAUUUCAUUGCUGCCUUCUCAACAAAUUAUGGAAUUGGUUUUAAUAGUUUGGUAGAGGUUUUAAUGGUUUUAACAGUAAUUGUAUAGAAAAAUAUGUUUGUUUUGCAGUUUUUCUCUUGAUAGUUUUUUACUAGUGAUUUGCUCACUUCUUAGUAAUAAAAUGAUAUUGAUUUGUA